GGUUAACGUUAAAGGCAAGAGGAGUGAUUCACAACUGUGGAGACACUUUGAAAGUGAGCACUGGAUGCUGAGUAUUGAAGGCGAGGUGGUGUGUGAGGGCACUCAUCCCAGUUUCCUGUCCGGCCUUGCCACUCUGUUUGCUGCUUAUUACUAGUUUAAUCUUGAGUAUCAGGAGGAAGCAGUGUGUACCUUGGAGUUCAUUCAAAGGUGCUUUGUGGGCAUAAAUCCAGAGAGAGGAUCCAAAGCCAAGGGAAAAGUGCCAUCGAAAUAAAAACAGGACAAGUGAUACAGAAGAAAAUGUGUGGCAGUCAACCCACAUGUUGCCACUCUUCUGUGCAAAUUCCAAUGGAAUUUCUGAAAUUCACACUUUGAAUCCUGGGAUUGAACUUCAUCUGGAGCAUAAUUGUUAUUUGGUUGAUUUUUAUCUGUUUGAUGGAAAGUUUGUAUGACUUCUGCAAGUGCGCGGCUCCUUCCGGUCAGUCAUGCAUCACUUUUUUUUGUAUGACUUGUUUGGCAAUAUUGGUCUAUUCUUUCUAUCUGAAAAUGUCUUUGUGGUUUUUAAAGGAUUAGUUCACCCAAAAAUGAAAAUUAAGUCAAUA